GACGAAGGUGGCGAGCGUUGUUCGGAAUCACUGGGCGUAAAGCGCACGUAGGCGGCUUCUUAAGUCAGGGGUGAAAUCCCGGAGCUCAACUCCGGAACUGCCUUUGAUACUGAGAGUCUCGAGUUCGGGAGAGGUGAGUGGAACUGCGAGUGUAGAGGUGAAAUUCGUAGAUAUUCGCAAGAACACCAGUGGCGAAGGCGGCUCACUGGCCCGAUACUGACGCUGAGGUGCGAAAAGCGUGGGGGAGCAAACAGG
rnacentral:rRNA from 1 species